CAAAUUUCACAUCUUAACGUCUCCCACUUGUCGUGAAUGAAGCUUGUGCGCACAACUCGGUCUCUAUACUGAGCUCCCUCUGUAGCCAUGAGCAGUGCUAGAGCGCCCACUAUUUCAAAAACUAGGAAUAUUAUUUCACAAGACUUGGAAGAACUUAAUAAAAAAGUUACUAUCCCUUUCGACAACUUUUUUGUUAACUUUCGGGUAACGAUUCUUCGCCGUGUCUAACCUCCGAGAACAGAAAACAAAACUACUCCCCGGCGCAGUUUGUACGGUAAUGUUUUUUCUCUCCCAUAUCUUUUAUACAAAACCACCAGCAGUGUUUCUCAGCAUAUAUGAAAGUUCUGACGUUGUGAACAAGCGAACACAAGGCUGCAACCGCGAAAAGGCUGGACACACGGACUAGGGUGUUUUAUCGUUACUAUUCACAAGAAGAGCGAAAUUAUCUACGAGGACAAAGACGCGUCCGACUAAGGAACUGACAAAUGACAAGGACACAUUGGUGACCGGCACGAGAGUUCGAGCCGCCGACCGAAAGCGUAAGAAGGGAAAAAGACCUACUUUUGGCCAGUUUUCUCGCCCUCGCCUUGGAUCUCAUCUUGUCGGCUUGUAGAUUCCUCUCGUCCUCCGUGAGCCCAGAAGCAGCAACAACACUAUCUUCAUCUCACAAGCAUUGUCAGUUUGGACACCUUCGCACAUGCGCACAGGCCAUUCAAUCUGACACCCUCAUCAGGGCCAAAAAACUUUGCAAUGUAUUCAUCAUCACUUUUUGUCCUAUCGUCUCCCCUUUAGAUCACUUAUCUCUUCCCCUCCUCCCUCUCAGCACCAUCUCGGACCCCCUCCCCCCCUCCCCUCCCCCUACCACCGCCUUUGCCACCACCACCUUCUUGACUACCCCUUUAAGAGCAAUAACUUAUUUUUCGCAAACCUGUGGGAUCCGGACUAGCAAUGGAUACAGCAUGGUAUGUGAUGGGGUCAAGGUCGCAUCCCUCAACUGCAAGAUAGGCCUAACUCAGAAGAUGAUUAUUUACAAUUGAUGCAAUGGAUGUCUUAUCUGGCAUUGUGUUCAAAUGUAGGUUAAUCAAAUGCCAACUUUUUCCAGGGGUCAUUAUUGACUUCGCUUAUUCAGAUGCAUAAAGUUGCAUGUACGAUAGCUCUCCGUAUGAAAACAUAACGUUGCACACACAUGCUUUGCCUGCGAGCAAGCCACACGAAAACGGCAGCUGUUGACGCAUGCAGCAGCCUACUCUCAACAGACGAGACGACGAGUAGGCUACAGAACCGGGCUAGUUUUCAUUCAUUGUAUUUCUAUAGGAAGCAUGUAUAAGUAAGUUAAGGUUUUUCUACUUGAAAAUAUGCCUUAUUUCUGCACCCCUAUCAUCUCUGUGAACUAUGGUGCGAUGUAAUGAAUGCAAACAUCCCAUCGCCAUUUUUGGCACAAGGGCUCCAGGUAAAACCAGCGAGGAAGAGAAAUAGAUUGUGAAUUUCUAAUGUAAGUAUGACUUUGCCUUCCACCUGUUUUACGUGCAGCAUGCAUGGCGUUCACACGUGCAUGCUGUGUAUGAAAGCAGGCGUCUGUUGAUCGUCGCAUGCAUAUAUUAACGGUCAACGUUAGGAGUGUGCCUUCGAUGUCAGUUGGAGGUUAGGCUAUAUAUUGUGUAGCUUAAUCUGCAGCUCAUAAUGCAGCUAAGCAAUUGAAAUAGGUAAGUCUGAGCGACCUUAUGUGUGAAUGAAUAAAAUAUCUACGGUGAACUAUAUGGAUGUUGAACGAAAGAAAGGAAAAUAUUUCUAGAUGAUUUUCAAGUGACAGUAGCCUAGUUCUGUGUUAAUCUACAUGUAGGCUAGGUUGGUAUUUCUGUGCAAUUGAAGCAGUAAAGAGAACAGACAAACAAAUAUCCGAAAAAUAUACCUGGCAAACAAAACUAUGUUUAUUCGGCAUAGGCCUAAUGCAUUAUUUGCAUUUGAAGUUAAUUUCAUUAUCUGUCCUAUUGCAUGCAGUUAUUUGACAAUUAUUAAACCAUAUUACUGUAUCGUUGUUAUUAUAAUAAUAAUAUGAGUAUUGUGCUAUAUUGUAAGAACUAUUAUUAUUAUUAAUAAUAUUAUUAUUAGCAACAACAGACGCCACAUUUUUAUGCACAGGCCUACUGCAUGUAAAACCAAAUGUUGUUCAUAAAAAAAGCAUGUCGAAAUAGAUCGUUUUGAAACCUUUUUGAGAACAUUGACCUAGAAAAGAAAGGAGUUGCAUGAUCAUAAUCAGUUGUUUUACCAGGCAUUUUGAUCUCGGAGCGAGUUCCAUUUUGUGAUUUGUAAAUGGGAAAAUAGAGUGCCUCUUCGGGAAGAUAGACGGGUUAAGACCUUUAACCAAUCUCCCGUGGGACAACGCGUGCAUGUGAUCACAGCCUUGAUUGAACAUCAAGAAAAUGAUUAUUAUUCAUUUAUUAUUAAUGUAUUAUUACUUAUUACAAGUGUAUUAUUACUUUUGUUUUUUAUUAAUGGACUAUUACGGUAGUAAUUGGGCAUAAGAUGGAAUAAGAAACGUGCAGACUGUUGAAUAUUCACUAAAAAGGCCUACUGCAAUUGCAUAUUAAAUCCGUUGCGUGAUACUAUAAUUAAUUUUUUUUUAAACAUACAUCAGCACAGGACUACAAUUACUUCAACCAUAAUUGAUAACUUAAGCAAAUAUUAAAUAAUCAACCAUUUGUUUCAAUGUGCAAUACAAGUUCAAAUGAAAUGUCAUGUGGUUGACUAGGCGUCUACAUUUCAUAUCCCAAUAGCAAAACAUUUAGUAAUUUCAACUAUUGAUCUAACAUUGUUGUUUGUGGAAUCGAAUCAUAUGUUGCAAAACAGAAUUCUUACAAAGUGGGGUUAAGUAAAAAUCUUACUAUAUAGCCUAACGGACUGACAUUGAGCCAACAAUCCUCAGGUGAGUAUUCAUUUAAUUUACCAAUGCUACUUUAUUGAGCCAACUCCUGGGUGUGAGUGCGAUAGAAUGACGACUGGGAACAUCAAGUCUUGUCUCAAUCGAUUUAUUGUAUCGAUAACAUUUCAUGUUUAAGUGUGAAAAAAAGGUCCAUUCAACAGCAUUUGUUUCUUAUUUUCCCCAAAAUGUUUUCACCAAAAAUGUUUUCACCAGCUCUCCAGAACAAUUUAAACGUGGGUCGAAUCUCUCACAUUGGUCUGGACAAAUUAUUUAAUAUGGCGCAACACCUUUUUUAAGAGCAAUUAAGCCUAACUGUGAUUACGCUUGUAAAGAAAAGUGUUGCUCUUCGGUACCCGUUCAUUUGGGGAAUAGUUUUCUGCGUCAUUUAAACGUCUGCCUUUUACGAGCUCUACGUGGCGGCUGUGUAACCCCGCAUUUUUGAGUAUUUUCUUUCCAGAUUGUUGCGAUUUUCCUGCGGUUUUAACACGGGGACGGAGAGAGGCUGGCGCAGACCCCGGAGGAGAGGUGUGCUGCUUCAAUCCAGGCCGCAGUAGCAAUAUCCGUAUUUUGGUCAUUUACAGGGCAUCAAUCCAAUAUGCUAAUUAGUCAACAACUAAAAGUAGCCUAUGGCUAUUCAGAGCAGCAAACAUCACUCUUCGAAUUUAUUGAUCUUAAACGAGGGCCUAAAUAAAAAAGUAUGCCUUCAAACACUAUUAUUUUGUGCAUUUCUAUAUUUUUUAUCUAUUAGGCAACCCAUUCUAUUUAUGCUCAUCUUUCGGCAAGACCACAGAGACAACAUAGUAGACCUAAGCUUGCACUGAGUAUACACUAAAAGGAAAAGUUUCCUGCACUCUUAGAAAAAAAUGUUUCUUAUAGAACCAAAAAGGGUUAUAAUCACUUGCUUCAUAUAUGAAACCGAUCAGAACCCUAGAGGUUCUUCACUGAACUAAAAUGGUUCCAUAUAGAACCCUGCAUGGUGCC
ensembl:lncRNA